rnacentral:rRNA from 1 species
CUGGCUCAGGAUGAACGCUAGCGGCAGGCCUAAUACAUGCAAGU